AUACGAAGGGGGCUAGCGUUGCUCGGAAUGACUGGGCGUAAAGGGCGUGUAGGCGGUUUACACAGUCAGAUGUGAAAUCCCCGGGCUUAACCUGGGAGCUGCAUUUGAUACGUGUAGACUAGAGUGUGAGAGAGGGUUGUGGAAUUCCCAGUGUACGAGGUGAAAUUCGUAGAUAUUGGGAAGAACACCGGUGGCGAAGGCGGCAACCGGGCUCAUGACUGACGCUGAGGCGCGAAAGCGUGGGGAGC
rnacentral:rRNA from 1 species